UCAAGCUAUAAAGAGCGUAGGGAGAAUGACUUGGCAUCAGGAGCCGAAGAAGGACGUGACAAGCUGCGAAAAGCUGCGGUUAGGAGCAAAUAUCCAUAGACCCGCAGAUAUCCGAAUGGGGAAACCCGGUACGGCAAUACCGUAUCACUGCAUGGUAAAUACAUAGCCAUGUGGAGGAAACCCUCUGAACUGAAACAUCUAAGUAGGAGGAGGAAGAGAAAGAAACAUCGAUUUCCUAAGUAGCGGCGAGCGAAAGGGAAAGAGGCCAAACCAGAGAUAGCAAUAUCUUUGGGGUUGUGGACUGCAUAAUUGAUUCAAUAUUUUUAGCAGAAGUGUAUGGGAAGACACACCAUAGUAGGUAAUAGUCCUGUAAGCGAAAAGGAUAUUGACAAGGCAGGAUCCAGAGUACCACCGGACACGAGGAACCCGGUGGGAAGCCGGGGGGACCACCCCCCAAGCCUAAAUACUACCUGAUGACCGAUAGUGAAAAGUACAGUGAUGGAAAGUUGAAAAGAACCCCGGAAGGGGAGUGAAAAAGAAUCUGAAACCCUAUGUUUACAAGCUGCUAAAGCACCAUAUGAGUGCGAUAGCGUACUUUUUGUAGAACGGUCCGGCGAGUGUAUGUUGCAAGCGAGGUUAAGGUGUUAAGCACUGAAGCCGAAGGGAGACCGAGUGUGAAUAGCGCGUACAGUUUGCAGUAUACGACCCGAAACCGGGUGACCUAACCAUGGACAGGUUGAAGUGGAAGUAAAAUUCCAUGGAGGACCGAACCCACGUCUGUUGAAAAAGGCGGGGAUGAGCUGUGGUUAGCGGUGAAAUUCCAAUCGAACUCGGAUAUAGCUGGUUCUCAUCGAAAUAGCUUUAGGGCUAGCCUCAGGAUAGUUUAGCGGAGGUAAAGCACUGAAUGGGCUAGGGGGCUUCACGGCUUACCGAACCCUAUCAAACUCUGAAUGCCGCAUAAAUGUUUCCUGGGAGUCAGACUGCGUGAGAUAAGUUUCGUAGUCAAAAGGGAAAGAGCCCAGACCUACAGCUAAGGUCCCUAAAUGAAUUUAAGUGGAAAAGGAUGUGCAGUUGCGUAGACAACUAGGACGUUGGCUUAGAAGCAGCCACUCAUUUAAAGAGUGCGUAAUAGCUCACUAGUCGAGUGAUUGUGCGCCGAAAAUGUAACGGGGCUAAAAUUCAUACCGAAGCUUAGGCUUUGCACACUUUGUGUGCGAGGGGUAGAUGAGCGUUGUGUAAGUCUGCGAAGCUACACCGAAAGGAGUAGUGGAGAUAUCACAAGUGAGAAUGCCGGAAUGAGUAGCGAGAAUUAUGUGAGAAUCAUAAUGGUCGAAAAUCUAAGGUUUCUUGAGGAAGGUUCGUCCGCUCAAGGUAAGCCGGGAGCUAAGGCGAGGCCGAGAGGCGUAGUCGAUGCACAUACGGUAAAGAUUCCGUAGCCACCGAAGUCGUUAAAUACAGGGACACAGGAACAUAGCCUAACCCCACCGUUGGUUGAGUGGGGCGUAAGGGAGCGAAAAAUAGUAGCGAAGUAGGUGAUUGUACACUGGCGAGAAAAGCUGUAUGUAUUGAUAAGGUGCCCGUACCGCAAACCGACACAGGUAGAUGAGGAGAGAAUCCUAAGACCAGCGGGAGAAGUGUUGUUAAGGAACUCGGCAAAAUGACCCCGUAACUUCGGGAUAAGGGGAGCCUACGCGAGUAGGCCGCAGAGAAUAGUCUCAAGCGACUGUUUAGCAAAAACACAGGUCUAUGCUAAAUCGAAAGAUGAUGUAUAUGGGCUGACGCCUGCCCGGUGCUGGAAGGUUAAGGGGAAGUGUUAGAGCAAUCGAAGCACUGAACUUAAGCCCCAGUAAACGGCGGCCGUAACUAUAACGGUCCUAAGGUAGCGAAAUUCCUUGUCAGGUAAGUUCUGACCCGCACGAAUGGCGUAACGACUUGAGAGCUGUCUCAACAACAUACCCGGCGAAAUUGAAGUACUGGUAAAGAUGCCAGUUACCCGUGAUAAGACGGAAAGACCCCAUGGAGCUUUACUGUAACUUGAUAUUGAAUUUUUGUAUUACAUGUACAGGAUAGGUGGGAGACAGAGAACUAAUGCCGCCAGGUGUUAGGGAGUCGAUGUUGGGAUACCACUCUUGUAAUAUGAAGGUUCUAACCUGCACCCGUGAAUCCGGGUGGGGGACACUGUCAGGUGGACAGUUUGACUGGGGCGGUCGCCUCCUAAAAGGUAACGGAGGCGUUCAAAGGUUGGUUCAGCACGGACGGAAAUCGUGCAACGAGUGCAAACGCAUAAACCAGCCUAACUGCGAGACCGACAAGUCGAGCAGUAACGAAAGUUGGAGUUAGUGAUCCGGCGGUAUGAGAGUGGAAUUGCCGUCGCUCAACGGAUAAAAGCUACCCUGGGGAUAACAGGCUGAUCUCCCCCAAGAGUUCACAUCGACGGGGAGGUUUGGCACCUCGAUGUCGGCUCAUCGCAUCCUGGAGCUGAAGUCGGUUCCAAGGGUUGGGCUGUUCGCCCAUUAAAGCGGUACGCGAGCUGGGUUCAGAACGUCGCGAGACAGUUCGGUCCCUAUCUAUCACGGGCGUAGGAAAUUUGAGGAGAGCUGACCUUAGUACGAGAGGACCGGGUUGGACGUACCGCUGGUGCACCUGUUGUUCUGCCAAGGGCAUAGCAGGGUAGCUAAGUACGGACGGGAUAAACGCUGAAGGCAUCUAAGCGUGAAGCCCCCUUCGAGAUAAGAUUUCCCAUAGCGUAGGCUAGUAAGGACCCAUGAAGACUACAUGGUUGAUAGGCCGGAGGUGGAAGUGCAGUAAUGUAUGUAGCUGACCGGUACUAAUAGUCCGAGGGCUUGACCAA
rnacentral:rRNA from 1 species